rnacentral:rRNA from 1 species
AAUCAACGCUGGCGGCGUGCCUAACACAUGCAAGUCGAGCGGGAAAGGGGGCUUCGGUCCCUGAGUAUAGCGGCGGACGGGUGAGUAACACGUGGGUAAUUUGCCCUUGGGUGUGGAAUAACUCAGGGAAACUUGAGCUAAUACCGCAUGACAUCCCCUUCUCACAGGAGUUGGGGAUCAAAGCCGGGGACCCUUCGGGGCCUGGCGCCUGAGGAGAAGCCCGCGCCCGAUUAGCUAGUUGGNGAGGUAAUGGCUCACCAAGGCUUCGAUCGGUAGCCGGCCUGAGAGGGCGACGGCCACACUGGGACUGAGACACGGCCCA